rnacentral:rRNA from 1 species
AUUGAACGCUGGCGGCAUGCCUUACACAUGCAAGUCGAACGGCAGCACGGGUGCUUGCACCUGGUGGCGAGUGGCGAACGGGUGAGUAAUACAUCGGAACAUGUCCUGUAGUGGGGGAUAGCCCGGCGAAAGCCGGAUUAAUACCGCAUACGAUCUACGGAUGAAAGCGGGGGACCUUCGGGCCUCGCGCUAUAGGGUUGGCCGAUGGCUGAUUAGCUAGUUGGUGGGGUAAAGGCCUACCAAGGCGACGAUCAGUAGCUGGUCUGAGAGGACGACCAGCCACACUGGGACUGAGACACGGCCCAG